rfam:Haemonchus contortus, ISE/inbred ISE, WGS project CAVP01000000 data, contig: Hcontortus_19366
GGCCCAAAUAUGAAGUAAGGUAGGUCAGUAAGGUCAGCUGAUCCUACUGUUCUACUGUACUUCGAAAUUGAGCCC